rnacentral:tRNA from 1 species
UUUUCUUUGGCAUUCCAAUUGGUUUGUGCAUUCGGCUGUAAACCGAAAGGCUGGUGGUUCGAACCCACCCAAUGGAUG